rnacentral:rRNA from 1 species
GACGAACGCUGGCGGCGUGCCUAAUACAUGCAAGUCGAGCGGACGGACCAGAAGCUUGCUUUUGUGCGGUUAGCGGCGGACGGGUGAGUAACACGUGGGUAACCUACCUGUAAGACCGGGAUAACUCCGGGAAACCGGAGCUAAUACCGGAUAACACCUAGAACCGCAUGGUCCAUGAUUGAAAGACGGUCUUGCUGUCCCCUAUCGAUGGAUCCCCGCGGCAUUAGCUAGUUGGGAAGGGAACGGCUUACCAAGGCAACGAUGCUUAACCGACCUGGGAGGGGGCCCGCCCACCCUGGACCUGGGACACGGUCAAGACCCCUCCGGGAGGCAGAAGAGGGGAACCUUCGGAAAUGAGCGAAGUCCGAACGGGGCAACGCCCCUGGGCGGAGGAAGGCUUUCGGUCGGUAAGACUCUUUUAUUAGGGAAGAACAGCGGUGUAAGAAAAGGGCCGCGUCUUGACGGUACCUAAUCAGAAAGCCCCGGCUAACUACGUG